UCUCUGGUGGACUAGUGGCUAGCAUGCAGUGCUCUCACUGCUGUGGCCCUGGUUUGAUUCCUAGUCAGGGAA